GAGAGCAAGCAGAUCGAUCCACAGUUCGCUGGUGAUGCUGCUGCUAGGGCUGCGUGGUUGAUUAGCUAGCUCGUCUAGUUCAGAAUUUAUCUAAUGAAUUUUCGAUUUUCUGUUUAUGUGAUGAUUGAUAGACAAAUUGUGGAACUAAUUAGACAGUGUUAGGUUUCACUGGCGCCAGGUUAGGUUAUUGCUGAUCUGAUUCAUGUAAUUCCUUUGAACACCGCACUGUUGCCACCAUUUGAAAUCAUCUCUGUCAAGAUUGUUGAUUGUUUCUCUGUUUCUUGUUCUCUAUAAGUAGUAAAUGGCGAUUCCUAAUUAAUUUCCCCCUUUUCAGUUGUAUGUUCAGUUCAAUGCUGCUGUAAAUGGCUUCAUCAACACACGUCUAAUUGCAUUGCCUUCUGUUUUCCUGUAUUUAUCAGGGGUACCUGACCAUUCUUGCAGAGUUAUCCAGAAGCUAAAAUCAGCACAUAAUGUGUGGAUGUUUCAGGGACUCCUGACCCUGAAACUGUGACUCCUGUGGUGCCCCGGCACCAAAAAUUAUAUACAGAGGCUCACACUAGCACGUGCAACUUAGUUCAGUCUGAACAUGUUGAUACUGAACCAGAAGUUGUCUCUAAACUGUCAUAUUGGACUUAACUCUUGACAGGGUCAUGGAAAUGACACUAAGGGGAGAGCGGCCAGUUGUUAUCCAGGAUAUUAAUGAUGAGCCUCCAAACUCUGAUCAGCCGAUCUCCGUGCCCUGUAUGGCACCCAAGCCCAAGGUUUGCACUUGAAACUACUACCUAACCAAACGUUUUACAGUAUGCAUUUGCCUUUUUUCUCUAGUCUCACCGUCUUGGCGGAAAGAACAUGGGUGUGUGCAUGGUAACCGCACACACCAUCUGAUGAUGAAUAUAGACCUUUUCGAGUAUCUUCAUGAUGCCCAUUUGUGUUGCUGUUGAACAGCCAUUAGAGAAACAAGGCUGUGCAAAUAAUUUCGGCUGGGAUCUGAGAACUCAUCCAAGAAAAUCAACAUCGGGAGUUCAAACCGGUAGCUUAAACUUGUGUGUACGCCACAUCUAUUUGCGUUGUGAACUUUGGCAAUCCUACUGUGAACUUUGGCUGGGAAUCCUUUGUCUAGUUAUGCUUGUCUGUGACUCUAUAGAAAACCACUUAGGCCCCGCUUGGAAUAGGGGUAAUUUUAUACACCUGUAUUACUUUUACAAGUGUAUUUCACCAGCCAUGUGUGAUUUCCAGCCAGAGUUGAGGUCUGUAUCUUCUACAGGUGUAAAGGUGUGGAAAAUGACAAUCCAAUCAGGCCCUUAGUGACCCCAGCUGCAACAACCACUCUUGGUGACUGAUUGAUUGAUGAAAAAGUAAUCAUUCCACGUCAGCGUUCACAGCAAAGUUGCCUGUAAUUAUUAGGCACGGGAAUUAGCGCCUAUUGUGUUUUGCAUCCUUUCGCUCUCUUUUGUUGCCAAGAGUUGUUAGCAGCCCAAAGUUGACAUUUAUGUAUAUAUAUUUCAAGUUGGCCAUCCACUUGCGACUUUAUGUGGAAAGUUAUAAUUUUCUAGUACAUGUGGUUGCAUGCAUUCUACAGAGGCAGGUGU